rnacentral:SRP_RNA from 1 species
CCGCGCUAGACGGGGAGAUGGCGGUUCCCUGUACCGGCAAUCCGCCUUAGCCGGGUCGAAUGCCCUUCGUGAGGUCUGGCCUCGCGGACCGGGUCGGUGUGGAACGUGUUGAAGGCCGGGACCUGCGCAGCGCGGGUCUCCGAACCCCGUCAGGUCCGGAAGGAAGCAGCGGUAAGGAGGCAGCCCGUGGGUGCCGCAGACAUCCGGGCCGGAGCGGGAAGCAUCGGCGCCGCCGGGAGCGUCGGAUCGAAGAGGGGUGCGCGG